UCCCUUAUUCUUGCAAGUCGAACGACAGAUAAGGAAGCUUGCUCCUUUGCCGUUAGCGAUAGACGGGUGAGUAACACGUGUCAAACCUACCUAUAAGACUGGAAUACUCCGGGAAACCUUCUCUAAUGCCGGAUAACAUAUAUAACCGCAUGGUUCUAUCGUGAAAGAUGGUUUUGCUAUCAUUUAUAGAUGGACCCGCGCCGUAUUAGCUAGUUGGUUAGGUAAUGGCUUACCAAGGCGACGAUACGUAGCCGACCUGAGAGGGUGAUCGGCCACACUGGAACUGAGACACGGUCCAGACUCCUACAGGAGGCAGCAGUAGGGAAUCUUCCGCAAUGGGCGAAAGUCUGACGGAGCAACGCCGCGUGAGUGAUGAAGGGUUUCGGCUCGUAAAACUCUGUUAUUAGGGAAGAACUUAUGUGUAAGUAUCUGUGCACAUCUUGCCGGUUCCUAAUCAAAAAGC
rnacentral:rRNA from 1 species